rnacentral:rRNA from 1 species
GACGAACGCUGGCGGCGUGCUUAACACAUGCAAGUCGUACGGUAAGGCCCUUUCGGGGGUACACGAGUGGCGAACGGGUGAGUAACACGUGAGUAACCUGCCCACAACUUUGGGAUAACGCUAGGAAACUGGUGCUAAUACUGGAUAUGUGCUCCUGCUGCAUGGUGGGGGUUGGAAAACUCCGGCGGUUGUGGAUGGACUCGCGGCCUAUCAGCUUGUUGGUGGGGUAGUGGCCUACCAAGGCGGCGACGGGUAGCCGGCCUGAGAGGGUGACCGGCCACACUGGGACUGAGAUACGGCCCAGACUCCUACGGGAGGCAGCAGUGGGGAAUAUUGCACAAUGGGCGCAAGCCUGAUGCAGCAACGCCGCGUGCGGGAUGACGGCCUUCGGGUUGUAAACCGCUUUCAGCAGGGACGAAGCUUUUUGUGACGGUACCUGCAGAAGAAGCACCGGCUAACUACGUG